UUCACUUACCCACACCGCAUUUGAGUAUUACAUAAUACUCUCGAUGUGUUCCUGAUCAAUUGAAUGUAAAAACAAAUGUAAUGCCCUUUUUUAUUGCAUGGUUCUCCUGUAUUAAUUGUAAUUAUACCACCGUAAUUUCUUGUGUAUAAUGCGCACCCCCAAAGUUAACCUCAAAAUUCUGGAAAACCUUCCAACCUAUGUAUCUUGCAUUUUUACAAUGCAUGAUUUCGCUUCUACCCAUAUGAUCAAAACAUGAAGUAUUAUCUGUAUUUUGUUAGUUUUUUUCAAAGAAUUAUUCUGAAGUUAGGCACUUUAUUAGAACACAUAAUACUUUAUAAUACUUUUAUUUACUUGCUCUUAUUUUGAAAUUCACAGCCCUACUUUUAUUUAGUAAAUGAGAAAAUGAGUUGUGCUUAUAUGUUUGAUUACCCAGGCAGAAUUUGUAAGAUGUGUACAAUUCUUUUAAGAAAACAUGAAGGACCAGACGAAACACAUUGAAUUUUAUUUUAAUGGGAUUCAAAUUAAACUGUCAAGCAUUUCAGAAAAGCAUUAUCAUUUAACAAAACAUAACCAUUAAGAAAUGAUGGUUGUUGUUCAGUUAUCUGUCGUAUUUAAAAAAAUAAAAACAAUGUUUCACAAAUUCUGCCUGGGUAUGUAAACUUAUGAGCACAAUUGUACAUAUAUGGAGUCAUAUGUACCCCUGUCAUAUUGGAAUGAAAGUGUAGGCUACACCUUUUUCAUAACCUCUAGGUGGCAUACUAGAAUGAAAGUGUACAACUGUUUCAUAACCUCUAGGGGGCGGUGGCAUCGUGGAAUGAAAGUGUCCAGCUUUUUCAUAACCUCUAGAUGGCGACAUACAUUUAUAAAAUGUGAAAGUCUUUUUCAUUCUCUCCUAUAUCUAUAUGUAUAAUGCACACUAUUGACUUGGGACAAUUUUUGGGGGGGUAAAAAAUGCGCAUUAUAAAAAUUACGGUAAUUUAUUUUUACGUUUUGUUAACGAGAGAACAUUUCAUAUGCUUGUGUAUGUUUUUGUAUCCCUUGUUAAUAUUCAAAGUACUGAGCGUUAAAGCCAUCUGUGAAGUCAAAGAUGACGUCUAAAUUGUUAUCUUUUUCUAACAUGUGUGUAACAGCAGGAGAAUUCACGCAUGUACACGUAGACAGAAAACACGUAGUGGUACAUUUGAAGCUGUGUUAUGAGGAAUUUACACACACUUUUUUUGUUGCCACUUCUGGGUGGAUCCAUAGCUUCUCACCUGCUACUCAAUGGUCCUGACAUGGCGUACCUUGGUUCACGAGUGGUUAUGCAAUGUAUUGCGCCCGACUUCUCUCCACCAGUCACAUAUGAACUGAGAAGGGACGGUCUCCUGAUAAGCGUGAGAACACAUCUCCAAGACAACCAGUCUGCCUCCUUUUUACUGAAGGUCACUGUGAGAUCAGAAGGGUCGUACCGUUGUGAAGCAAAGACCGAGGGACGCACAAGACUGAGCAACAGCAUCAGACUGAGUGUAGUUACUCCAGCAUCAAAUACCAGGGUGAACUCUGACCCCUUUCCUGCAGUCCUAUACGAGGGUUCCAGAAUGGUUUUGAGCUGCGACGUUGCAAAGGGCUCCCACCUCUCCUACACCUGGUUUUUCAACAGGAUGCAGGUUACCUCUGCUACCUCUCCUCAGCUACACAUCACCGGGAAUAAGCUUGUGAUGGAAAGGGCGACUCCACAGCACGCUGGGUAUUAUGGAUGUAUGGCAUGGUCCAGGUUGCGGGACGACCAAAGGUUUUCCAGCAGCUCAGACGUCAAGGUGGCAAUCAAAGUCCAUCUUUUGAAACCCGAGAUCUCGCUUUCCAUCUUCAAAGAGGGAACGAGAUACCGUGGUAACGUGACCUGCUGGGCGUCCAGAGGAACUCCUCCGGUCAACUUCUCUCUUUCAGUGGAUGAUAAAGUGGUGACCUCGGUUAUAGCUUUUGACUCUGUCAGUGCCUGGUUCAGUGUAGCUGUGGUGCCCGGGCUGGAUAUGGGCGUGGCUCGGUGUUUGGUGAAAAAUGAGGUGCAGGAGCUGCUGAGUGAACCUCUGACACUGGAAUUGGUCCCAGUUGGAGGUGACGUAAACGUUGAAGUUGAAUAUCUCUACAGAUCGGACUCCAAACUGGCUGCGGCCAGACUGACAUGUCAUGUCAGUCGAGGGUCUUUUCCUUUAUUCUCUUGGCUUUUGAAUGAGUCCACUCUUCCUUCUGAGACACAAAUGGAUUCCUAUCUUCGGCAUAUCCGGCCUCACUAUGCCUUGCUGGACUGGAGACGUACUCUUAUUCUGGCCAAGGUGGACCCCGAGGAGGCGGGGUAUUACCGAUGCAGGGCCAGGGACAGAUAUGACGACUCUGGUGCCUGGCUGGAUAGCGGAGCUGUCCUAAUCCAAGUCAAAGACUUGAUGCUUGACAACACACCCCGAGAAACAGCUUCUCCUGAAACAUCACCAAUGACCACGGAGAUCAUUGCCAUAAUAUUCUGCUCCUUUCUCCUCCUAACUUUGGCAGUCAGCAGCUACUGUGUGUACAUGAUGAUUGACAACCAAAAAGGUCUUCACCCCAGUUCAGCACCAAAGUGAUGCCACUUCCGAUGAACUGCCUUUGUCUAUACCUAUCUUCCACUUGGAGGGCAAGCAGGCUGAUACAUGCGUAUCAGGCGGCAGUAUAAACACUCAGAUUUUGGAGAUGGCUGAUAGAUGAUAGCGCACCUUUCAUCUGACUCUUCAAUUCCUUCUUAUUGUAACUGUCAUUUUCUGUGGUCAGUUAUGAUGUUAUUGUAGUCACACAUUUUUCUGUUCACCAAUAUUGCUUAUGAGAACAUUAAAGCAAUCCUUUAUAGACGAAUAUAAAAGAGCAAUAUUACUGCACACUAAGAAUCUCUGACAAAUAAAUUGUAAAAAAAAAUUUUUGUUUUUUUUUUCAAUUCAGCAAAGAU